UACAGAGGGGGCAAGCGUUGUUCGGAAUUACUGGGCGUAAAGGGCGCGUAGGCGGCCUGCUAAGUCGAACGUGAAAUCCCCGGGCUCAACCCGGGAACUGCGUCCGAUACUGGCGGGCUUGAAUCCGGGAGAGGGAUGUGGAAUUCCAGGUGUAGCGGUGAAAUGCGUAGAGAUCGGGAGGAACAUCAGUGGCGAAGGCGGCCAUCUGGGACAACACUGACGCUGAGGCACGAAAGCGUGGGGAGCAAACAGG
rnacentral:rRNA from 1 species